AACGAACGCUGGCGGCAUGCCUAACACAUGCAAGUCGAACGAAGCCUUCGGGCUUAGUGGCGCACGGGUCCGUAACGCGUGGGAAUAUGCCCUUGGGUUCGGAAUAACAGUUAGAAAUGACUGCUAAUACCGGAUGAAGUCUCCGGACCAAAGAUUUAUCGCCCAGGGAUGAGCCCGCGUAGGUUUAGGUAGUUGGUGGGGUAAUGGCCAACCAAGCCUACGAUCCUUAGCUGGCCUGAGAGGAUGAUCAGCCACACUGGGACUGAGACACGGCCCAGACUCCUACGGGAGGCAGCAGUGGGGAAUAUUGGACAAUGGGCGAAAGCCUGAUCCAGCAAUGCCGCGAGGGUGAUGAAGGCCUUCGGGUUGUAAAGCUCUUUUACCAGGGAUGAUAAUGACAGUACCUGGAGAAUAAGCUCCGGCUAACUCCGUGCCAGCCGCCGCCGUAA
rnacentral:rRNA from 1 species